CAUUAGGUGGCUGAAAGCAAGCAAUGGAAUUUUAAGCCAUCCCAUAGUAAUUAACGUCUACUCCUAAUG
rnacentral:tRNA from 1 species